CCAUACUCCAGGACUGAGGCUCUGAUAGAUGGCACAGGUCUUCCAAGACCAAACUACACAGUUGAGGAGGGAAAGUUUUCAGAGGAUUUAGAACUCUUCAGAAAACUGCAGGAGGACCUGGGCAGAAAAAUAGAUAUGGUCAACAACAGUGGGGAUGCUGACCAGAACACUGAAAGCCUGUCAUGGCCCCAGAAGGUGCUGGAGUACUUUGUGGAUUCCAUGGUACACCUUGUGGUUUCGGUGCCAUUUGUCAUUGUGUUACUCUGUGUGACAAAAUGGUACUGGAAGAAGGGA